AGGUCUUCCAGGUGACAUCUUGGGUAUCAGGGGCAGAGACACCUGCAGUGAAGGGGUGUUAGCACUGAGGGAGAACAGCCACUUUGUAGCCUUCAGUAAUACCAAGGUGUAUCUGUGUACUGCUAGUACAGUGGAGCAGUUAGAAUGGCCACAAACACUACUACAACUAGAGAACCUAUUAUUACAGGAUCCACAGGUUCAGGAUGUGGCUUUCAAUACAUUCCCAGGGUCAGUAGGAAUAUUGCUAGCCAUCAAUGCUAAUGGACAGUCAAAGGUUAUAGUAUUGCUGUAUAACAUAUAUGAAGAUGUUUGGGAGAUUACACCUAUGUGGAUGGAUUUUAACAUUACAG